AAUCCAAGGGGGGAAAUGAGGGUGAAAUAAUCUGAGGGAAAAUGAGAGUGAAAUAAUCCGAAGGGAAUAAUGAUGGUGAAAUGAUUUGAGGGGGAAAAUGAAGAUUAAAUAAUCUGAGGGGGGAAAAUGAGGGGGAAAUCAUCUGAAAGUGAAAUAAUCUGAGGGAUUAUUUAUGAUGAAAUUAACUGAGGGGGAAAUGAUCUGAGGGGGAAAUAAUCUGGGAAAAAUGAGGAUGAAAUAAUAGGAGGGGGAAAAUGAGGGUGAAAUAAUCUGAGGAUGGAAUAAUCUGGGAAAAAUGAGGUGGAAUAAUAGGAGGAAAAUGAAGGUGGAAUAAUCUGAGGGAUUAUUUAUGAUGAAAUUAACUGAGGGUGAAAUGAUCUGAGGGUGGAAUAAUCUGGGAAAAAUGAGGGUGAAAUAAUAGGAGGAGGAAAAUGAGGGUGAAAUAAUCUGGGAAAAAUGAGGAUGAAAUGAUAGGAGGAGGAAAAUGAAGGUGGAAUAAUCUGGGGAAAAUGAGGAUGAAAUGAUAGGAGGAGGAAAAUGAGGGUGGAAUAAUCUGUGUGUCCUUUCUCUUUACAAAGUGGUGACGUUACCUCCAACCAUUUCCAGCUGUAAAGAAGGUCUUGCUUUUCCUCAGGGCUCUGCUUUUUUCUCAAGGAGAUGAAAUCCAUAAUGAAACUAAAAUAUUGCCCCUCUAUCAGGAGCUUUUAAUAACUGUAAUAAAAGAGAGUUCAAGUGCU